GAAAUGCGUAGAGAUCUGGAGGGACACCGGCGGCGAAGGCGGCUCUCUGGAAGAUUCCCGACCCUGAGGCACGAAGGCCAGGGGAGCGGACGGGACUAGAUACCCCGGUAGUCCUGGCAGUAAACGUCGCUCACUAGGUGUUGGUGGAUUCGACCCCAUCAGAGCCGUAGCUAACGCGCUAAGUGAGCCGCCUGGGGAGUACGGUCGCAAGACUUAAACUCAAAGAAAUUGACGGGGCACCGCACAAGCGGUGGAGUAUGUGGCUUAAUUCGAUGCAACGCGAAGAACCUUACCUGGGCUGGACAUGCUUAGUUCAUCCGUGGAGACACGGUGGUUCGCAAGACCGAUUUGCACAGGUGCUGCAUGGCCGUCGUCAGCUCGUGUCGUGAGAUGUAUGGUUAAGUCCAGCAACGAGCGCAACCCUCGUGGCUAGUUACACGCUUCGGCUCACUAGUCUAGAAUGCCCUGUUCAACGGGGAGGAAGGUGGGGAUGACGUCAAGUCAGUAUGGCCCUUAUGCCCAGGGCUGCACACGUAGUACAAUGCUCACUACAAAGGGACGCCAGACCGCGAGGUUCAGCUAAUCUCAGAAAAGUGGGCCCAGUUCGGAUUGGAGUCUGCAACUCGACUCCAUGAAGCCGGAAUCGCUAGUAAUGCCGUAUCAGCUACGACGGCGUGAAUACGUUCCCCGGGGCUUGUACACACUGCCCGUCACAUCAUGAAAGCUGCUUGUACCAGAAGUCGUCGCGCCAACCUAUGGGGGCAGGCGCCUAAGUAUGACUAGUGAUUGGGAUGAA
rnacentral:rRNA from 1 species